GGUCAAGUAAUGAAGUGCACAUGGUGGAUGCCUUGGCAGUCAGAGGCGAUGAAAGACGUGAUAGCCUGCGAUAAGCGUCGGUGAGGUGGCAAUAUCCUGUGACCCGGCGAUUUCUGAAUGGGGAAACCCACCUAAGAUAACUUAGGUAUCAUAAUUUAUUUUAGGAGGCGAACCGGGAGAAGUGAAACAUCUCAGUACCCCGAGGAAAAGACAUCAAUAGGGAUUCCCCAAGUAGCGGCGAGCGAACGGGGAGG
rnacentral:rRNA from 1 species